rnacentral:rRNA from 1 species
CCAAAAAAAUACCAUAAACCUAACUCAACCCUUUACUAAUACUGAAUGACUUCAUACCUUUAUGAAGAACCUUAUGUUAGAACUAGUAACAAGAAGAAGCCCUUCUCCAAAAUGUAAACAUGAACCAAAAUGAACAAAUCAUUGGUAUUUAAAAUUUUUUAGCUACAAGUAACAACUCAUCAAGAAAACCUUACUGCCCAACAUGUCAACCUUACACAAGUACAUUUAUGGAAAGAGUAAAAGAAUGGGAAGGAACUCGGCAAAUAACUAACCCCGCCUGUUUACCAAAAACAUCGCCUCCUGCUACUUUAUAGGAGGUCCAGCCUGCCCAGUGAUAAAAUUAAACGGCCGCGGUACCCUAACCGUGCAAAGGUAGCGCAAUCACUUGUUCUUUAAAUGAGGACUAGUAUGAACGGCAUCACGAGGGUUACACUGUCUCCCCACUCCACUCAGUGAAACUGAUCCCCCCGUGAAGAAGCGGGGAUAAAUAUAUAAGACGAGAAGACCCCAUGGAGCUUAAAACUCAGUCUUACCUGCCAUCUAAAAAACCUAGAAACCACGCAGUACUAAUGACUAGUUUUCGGUUGGGGUGACCGCGGAGAAAAACAAAUCCUCCACGACGAAAGGACCUAUCCACCUAACCCAAGAGUUACACCUCUAAGAAUCAACACAUUGACCAACUGAUCCAAUUUUUGAUCAGCGGACCAAGUUACCCUGGGGAUAACAGCGCAAUCCAUUUCAAGAGCUCAUAUCGACAAAUGGGUUUACGACCUCGAUGUUGGAUCAGGGUAUCCAAGUGGCGCAGCCGCUACUAACGGUUC